GGUUAAGCGACUAAGCGUACACGGUGGAUGCCCUGGCAGUCAGAGGCGAUGAAGGACGUGCUAAUCUGCGAUAAGCGUCGGUAAGGUGAUAUGAACCGUUAUAACCGGCGAUUUCCGAAUGGGGAAACCCAGUGUGUUUCGACACACUAUCAUUAACUGAAUCCAUAGGUUAAUGAGGCGAACCGGGGGAACUGAAACAUCUAAGUACCCCGAGGAAAAGAAAUCAACCGAGAUUCCCCCAGUAGCGGCGAGCGAACGGGGAGCAGCCCAGAGCCUGAAUCAGUGUGUGUGUUAGUGGAAGCGUCUGGAAAGGCGCGCGAUACAGGGUGACAGCCCCGUACACAAAAAUGCACAUAUUGUGAGCUCGAUGAGUAGGGCGGGACACGUGGUAUCCUGUCUGAAUAUGGGGGGACCAUCCUCCAAGGCUAAAUACUCCUGACUGACCGAUAGUGAACCAGUACCGUGAGGGAAAGGCGAAAAGAACCCCGGCGAGGGGAGUGAAAAAGAACCUGAAACCGUGUACGUACAAGCAGUGGGAGCCUCUUUUAUGGGGUGACUGCGUACCUUUUGUAUAAUGGGUCAGCGACUUAUAUUCUGUAGCAAGGUUAACCGAAUAGGGGAGCCGAAGGGAAACCGAGUCUUAACUGGGCGUUAAGUUGCAGGGUAUAGACCCGAAACCCGGUGAUCUAGCCAUGGGCAGGUUGAAGGUUGGGUAACACUAACUGGAGGACCGAACCGACUAAUGUUGAAAAAUUAGCGGAUGACUUGUGGCUGGGGGUGAAAGGCCAAUCAAACCGGGAGAUAGCUGGUUCUCCCCGAAAGCUAUUUAGGUAGCGCCUCGUGAACUCAUCUCCGGGGGUAGAGCACUGUUUCGGCAAGGGGGUCAUCCCGACUUACCAACCCGAUGCAAACUGCGAAUACCGGAGAAUGUUAUCACGGGAGACACACGGCGGGUGCUAACGUCCGUCGUGAAGAGGGAAACAACCCAGACCGCCAGCUAAGGUCCCAAAGUCAUGGUUAAGUGGGAAACGAUGUGGGAAGGCCCAGACAGCCAGGAUGUUGGCUUAGAAGCAGCCAUCAUUUAAAGAAAGCGUAAUAGCUCACUGGUCGAGUCGGCCUGCGCGGAAGAUGUAACGGGGCUAAACCAUGCACCGAAGCUGCGGCAGCGACGCUUAUGCGUUGUUGGGUAGGGGAGCGUUCUGUAAGCCUGUGAAGGUGUACUGUGAGGUAUGCUGGAGGUAUCAGAAGUGCGAAUGCUGACAUAAGUAACGAUAAAGCGGGUGAAAAGCCCGCUCGCCGGAAGACCAAGGGUUCCUGUCCAACGUUAAUCGGGGCAGGGUGAGUCGACCCCUAAGGCGAGGCCGAAAGGCGUAGUCGAUGGGAAACAGGUUAAUAUUCCUGUACUUGGUGUUACUGCGAAGGGGGGACGGAGAAGGCUAUGUUGGCCGGGCGACGGUUGUCCCGGUUUAAGCGUGUAGGCUGGUUUUCCAGGCAAAUCCGGAAAAUCAAGGCUGAGGCGUGAUGACGAGGCACUACGGUGCUGAAGCAACAAAUGCCCUGCUUCCAGGAAAAGCCUCUAAGCAUCAGGUAACAUCAAAUCGUACCCCAAACCGACACAGGUGGUCAGGUAGAGAAUACCAAGGCGCUUGAGAGAACUCGGGUGAAGGAACUAGGCAAAAUGGUGCCGUAACUUCGGGAGAAGGCACGCUGAUAUGUAGGUGAAGCGACUUGCUCGUGGAGCUGAAAUCAGUCGAAGAUACCAGCUGGCUGCAACUGUUUAUUAAAAACACAGCACUGUGCAAACACGAAAGUGGACGUAUACGGUGUGACGCCUGCCCGGUGCCGGAAGGUUAAUUGAUGGGGUUAGCGCAAGCGAAGCUCUUGAUCGAAGCCCCGGUAAACGGCGGCCGUAACUAUAACGGUCCUAAGGUAGCGAAAUUCCUUGUCGGGUAAGUUCCGACCUGCACGAAUGGCGUAAUGAUGGCCAGGCUGUCUCCACCCGAGACUCAGUGAAAUUGAACUCGCUGUGAAGAUGCAGUGUACCCGCGGCAAGACGGAAAGACCCCGUGAACCUUUACUAUAGCUUGACACUGAACAUUGAGCCUUGAUGUGUAGGAUAGGUGGGAGGCUUUGAAGUGUGGACGCCAGUCUGCAUGGAGCCGACCUUGAAAUACCACCCUUUAAUGUUUGAUGUUCUAACGUUGACCCGUAAUCCGGGUUGCGGACAGUGUCUGGUGGGUAGUUUGACUGGGGCGGUCUCCUCCUAAAGAGUAACGGAGGAGCACGAAGGUUGGCUAAUCCUGGUCGGACAUCAGGAGGUUAGUGCAAUGGCAUAAGCCAGCUUGACUGCGAGCGUGACGGCGCGAGCAGGUGCGAAAGCAGGUCAUAGUGAUCCGGUGGUUCUGAAUGGAAGGGCCAUCGCUCAACGGAUAAAAGGUACUCCGGGGAUAACAGGCUGAUACCGCCCAAGAGUUCAUAUCGACGGCGGUGUUUGGCACCUCGAUGUCGGCUCAUCACAUCCUGGGGCUGAAGUAGGUCCCAAGGGUAUGGCUGUUCGCCAUUUAAAGUGGUACGCGAGCUGGGUUUAGAACGUCGUGAGACAGUUCGGUCCCUAUCUGCCGUGGGCGCUGGAGAACUGAGGGGGGCUGCUCCUAGUACGAGAGGACCGGAGUGGACGCAUCACUGGUGUUCGGGUUGUCAUGCCAAUGGCACUGCCCGGUAGCUAAAUGCGGAAGAGAUAAGUGCUGAAAGCAUCUAAGCACGAAACUUGCCCCGAGAUGAGUUCUCCCUGACCCUUUAAGGGUCCUGAAGGAACGUUGAAGACGACGACGUUGAUAGGCCGGGUGUGUAAGCGCAGCGAUGCGUUGAGCUAACCGGUACUAAUGAACCGUGAGGCUUAACCUU
rnacentral:rRNA from 1 species